AUGGAUCUCCGAGUUAGUAUAACCCAAAUUGAGCUGGAGUGCAUGCUAGUUGAUGAUGACGCAGAGCCCAAGGCCUUGCCAUUCCCACUAUUGGAGAAAAUAACAGAUGGUUUUUCUGAUAAGCUGGAAAUUGGAAGAGGUGGCUUUGCGGUGGUUUAUAAGGCAAUGCUUGAUAAUGGCAUUAUCGCUGUAAAGAGGAUGUCCAAUACGUACAUGUAUGAGAAAGAAUUCCACCGAGAGGUGGAAUGUCUAAUGAAGGUGAAGCACAAAAACCUUGUGCGAUUUCUCGGAUAUUGUGCUGACACCCAAGGGAAUAUGGGAAGCUACAACGGGAAAAUGGUUAUGGCAGAUGUGCAACAAAGAUUGCUCUGCUUUGAGUAUCUACCUAAAGGAAGUCUUGAUGAUUAUAUUACAGACUCUUUUGGAGAAUUUGAAUGGAGAAAGUGCUACCAAGUAAUAAAAGGGAUAUGCGAAGGGCUAAAUUAUCUUCACCAAAACAAUAUCAUGCACUUAGACCUAAAACCCGGAAAUAUAUUAUUGGAUGAAGAUGUGAUGCCGAAAAUUACUGAUUUUGGACUAUCAAGGUGUUUUGAGGAAGGCCAGACACGAGUCAUUACUGAAAAUGUGGGCGGAACGAUAGGAUAUUUGGCACCAGAAUUCCAUACUGGUGAAAUCACACACAAAUUUGACUUGUACAGUCUUGGUGUUAUAGUUAUGGAGAUGUUGACCGGAAAGAAGGGGUAUCAAAGUAUUGAAGAUGUAUUGAAGAUUAUUUUAACCUCUAGUCUCUAA
rnacentral:rRNA from 1 species